rnacentral:rRNA from 1 species
CACAGAGUUAGCCGGUGCUUCUUCUACCGGUACCGUCAUCAUCUUCCCGGGCGAAGGGAGUUUACAUCCCAAGGGAAUUCAUCCUCCACGCGGCGUUGCUGCGUCAGGGUUUCCCCCAUUGCGCAGGAUUCCCCA